AGAGUUUGAUCAUGGCUCAGGAUGAACGCUAGCGGGAGGCCUAACACAUGCAAGCCGAGCGGUAGAGAUUCUUCGGAAUCUUGAGAGCGGCGUACGGGUGCGGAACACGUGUGCAACCUACCUUUAUCUGGAGGAUAGCCUUUCGAAAGGAAGAUUAAUACUCCAUAAUAUAUUGAUUGGCAUCAAUUGUUAUUGAAAGCUCCGGCGGAUAGAGAUGGGCACGCGCAAGAUUAGUUAGUUGGUGAGGUAACGGCUCACCAAGACGAUGAUCUUUAGGGGCCUGAGAGGGUGAUCCCCCACACUGGUACUGAGACACGGACCAGACUCCUACGGGAGGCAGCAGUAAGGAAUAUUGCUCAAUGGCCGAAAGGCUGAAGCAGCAACGCCGCGUGAAGGAUGAAUGGCCUUUGGCCUGUAAACUUCUGUAAAAAGGGAAAAACAGUCAGGUAUAUCCUGAUUUGAUUGUACCUUUGAAGUAAGCCCCGGCUAACUACGUG
rnacentral:rRNA from 1 species